AUUGAACGCUGGCGGCAUGCCUUACACAUGCAAGUCGAACGGCAGCGGACCUUCGGGUGCCGGCGAGUGGCGAACGGGUGAGUAAUAUAUCGGAACGUACCUUUCAGUGGGGGAUAACGUAGCGAAAGUUACGCUAAUACCGCAUAUUCUGUGAGCAGGAAAGCAGGGGAUCGCAAGACCUUGCGCUGAUUGAGCGGCCGAUAUCAGAUUAGCUAGUUGGUGAGGUAAAGGCUCACCAAGGCGACGAUCUGUAGCGGGUCUGAGAGGAUGAUCCGCCACACUGGAACUGAGACACGGUCCAGACUCCUACGGGAGGCAGCAGUGGGGAAUUUUGGACAAUGGGCGCAAGCCUGAUCCAGCCAUGCCGCGUGAGUGAAGAAGGGCCUUCGGUUGUAAG
rnacentral:rRNA from 1 species